rnacentral:misc_RNA from 1 species
CGAAAUGCGAUAAGUAAUGUGAAUUGCAGAAUUCAGUGAAUCAUCGAAUCUUUGAACGCACCUUGCGCUCCUUGGUAUUCCUUGGGGCAUGCCUGUUUGAGUAUCAUGAAAUCUUCAAAGUAAAUCUUUUGUUAACUCAAUUGGUUUCUACUUUGGUAUUGGAGGUCUUUGCAGCUUCACACCUGCUCCUCUUUGUUCAUUAGCUGGAUCUCAGUGUUAUGCUUGGUUCCACUCGGCGUGAUAAGUUAUCUAUCGCUGAGGACACUGUAAAAGGUGGCCAAGGUAAAUGCAGAUGAACCGCUUCUAAUAGUCCAUUGACUUGGACAAUACUUUUAUGAUCUGAUCUCAAAUCAGGUAGGACUACCCGCUGAACUUAAGC